rnacentral:rRNA from 1 species
UGCAAGUCGUACGCUUCUUUUUCCACCGGAGCUUGCUCCACCGGAAAAAGAAGAGUGGCGAACGGGUGAGUAACACGUGGGUAACCUGCCCAUCAGAAGGGGAUAACACUUGGAAACAGGUGCUAAUACCGUAUAACAAUCGAAACCGCAUGGUUUUGAUUUGAAAGGCGCUUUCGGGUGUCGCUGAUGGAUGGACCCGCGGUGCAUUAGCUAGUUGGUGAGGUAACGGCUCACCAAGGCCACGAUGCAUAGCCGACCUGAGAGGGUGAUCGGCCACAUUGGGACUGAGACACGGCCCAAACUCCUACGGGAGGCAGCAGUAGGGAAUCUUCGGCAAUGGACGAAAGUCUGACCGAGCAACGCCGCGUGAGUGAAGAAGGUUUUCGGAUCGUAAAACUCUGUUGUUAGAGAAGAACAAGGAUGAGAGUAACUGUUCAUCCCUUGACGGUAUCUAACCAGAAAGCCACGGCUAACUACGUGCCAGCAGCCGCGGUAAUACGUAGGUGGCAAGCGUUGUCCGGAUUUAUUGGGCGUAAAGCGAGCGCAGGCGGUUUCUUAAGUCUGAUGUGAAAGCCCCCGGCUCAACCGGGGAGGGUCAUUGGAAACUGGGAGACUUGAGUGCAGAAGAGGAGAGUGGAAUUCCAUGUGUAGCGGUGAAAUGCGUAGAUAUAUGGAGGAACACCAGUGGCGAAGGCGGCUCUCUGGUCUGUAACUGACGCUGAGGCUCGAAAGCGUGGGGAGCAAACAGGAUUAGAUACCCUGGUAGUCCACGCCGUAAACGAUGAGUGCUAAGUGUUGGAGGGUUUCCGCCCUUCAGUGCUGCAGCUAACGCAUUAAGCACUCCGCCUGGGGAGUACGACCGCAAGGUUGAAACUCAAAGGAAUUGACGGGGGCCCGCACAAGCGGUGGAGCAUGUGGUUUAAUUCGAAGCAACGCGAAGAACCUUACCAGGUCUUGACAUCCUUUGACCACUCUAGAGAUAGAGCUUCCCCUUCGGGGGCAAAGUGACAGGUGGUGCAUGGUUGUCGUCAGCUCGUGUCGUGAGAUGUUGGGUUAAGUCCCGCAACGAGCGCAACCCUUAUUGUUAGUUGCCAUCAUUUAGUUGGGCACUCUAGCAAGACUGCCGGUGACAAACCGGAGGAAGGUGGGGAUGACGUCAAAUCAUCAUGCCCCUUAUGACCUGGGCUACACACGUGCUACAAUGGGAAGUACAACGAGUCGCGAAGUCGCGAGGCUAAGCUAAUCUCUUAAAGCUUCUCUCAGUUCGGAUUGUAGGCUGCAACUCGCCUACAUGAAGCCGGAAUCGCUAGUAAUCGCGGAUCAGCACGCCGCGGUGAAUACGUUCCCGGGCCUUGUACACACCGCCCGUCACACCACGAGAGUUUGUAACACCCGAAGUCGGUGAGGUAACCUUUUGGAGCC